rnacentral:rRNA from 1 species
GACGAACGCUGGCGGCGUGCUUAACACAUGCAAGUCGAACGGGCCCGCCCCUGUUUUUGGGGGUGGGUUGAGUGGCGAACGGGUGAGUAUCACGUGAGUAACCUGCCCCCUGCUCCUGGAUAACUGCUUGAAAGGGCGGCUAAUACGGGGUGUGCCGGCUGGUCCGCAUGGGCCUGGUCGGGAUAGUUUCAUCUUCGGGUGUUUCGGUGGGGGAUGGGCUCGCGGCCUAUCAGCUUGUUGGUGGGGUGAUGGCCCACCAAGGCGGUGACGGGUAGCCGGCCUGAGAGGGUGGGCGGCCACACUGGGACUGAGACACGGCCCAGACUCCUGCGGGAGGCAGCAGUGGGGGGUAUUGCACAAUGGGCGGAAGCCUGAUGCAGCGACGUCGCGUGAGGGAUGGAGGCCUUCGGGUUGUGAACCUCUUUCUCCGGUGGUGAAGGCCCUGUCCGUUGCGGCGGGGUUGACGGUGGCCGGGUAUGAAGCGCCGGCUAACUACGUG